UACAGGGGGGGGCAAGCGUUGUUCGGAAUUACUGGGCGUAAAGGGUCAGUAGGCGGCCAACUAAGUCCGACGUGAAAUCCCAAAGCUUAACUUUGGAACUGCGUCGGAUACUGGAUGGCUUGAAUUCGGGAGAGGGAUGCAGAAUUCCAGGUGUAGCGGUGAAAUGCGUAGAUAUCUGGAGGAAUACCGGUGGUGAAGGCGGCAUCCUGGACCGAGAUUGACGCUGAACGACGAAAGCUAGGGGAGCAAACGGG
rnacentral:rRNA from 1 species